rnacentral:rRNA from 1 species
GAUGAACGCUGGCGGCGUGCUUAACACAUGCAAGUCGAACGAAGCACUGUUGAUAGAUUCUUCGGACGAUAGAUACAGUGACUGAGUGGCGGACGGGUGAGUAACGCGUGGGUAACCUGCCUCAUACAGGGGGAUAACAGUUAGAAAUGACUGCUAAUACCGCAUAAGCGCACAGUACUGCAUGGUACAGUGUGAAAAACUCCGGUGGUAUGAGAUGGACCCGCGUCUGAUUAGCUAGUUGGUGGGGUAACGGCCCACCAAGGCGACGAUCAGUAGCCGACCUGAGAGGGUGACCGGCCACAUUGGGACUGAGACACGGCCCAAACUCCUACGGGAGGCAGCAGUGGGGAAUAUUGCACAAUGGGCGAAAGCCUGAUGCAGCGACGCCGCGUGAGCGAAGAAGUAUUUCGGUAUGUAAAGCUCUAUCAGCAGGGAAGAAAAUGACGGUACCUGACUAAGAAGCACCGGCUAAAUACGUGCCAGCAGCCGCCGCCGUAA